GCAAUCGUGGCCGAGUGGUUAAGGCGAUGGACUAGAAAUCCAUUAGGCUGUCCCCGCACAGGUUCGAAUCCUGUCGACUGCG
rnacentral:tRNA from 1 species